GACGAACGCUGGCGGCGUGCUUAACACAUGCAAGUCGAACGGAAAGGCCUGCUUUCCCUUGUGGAUUGCGGGUACUCGAGUGGCGAACGGGUGAGUAACACGUGAGUGAUCUGCCCCCAACUUGGGUAUAAGCCUGGGAAACUGGGUCUAAUUCCCGAUAGGACUGCAGGGUGGUGCCUGUGGUGGCAAACGAUUUUCUAGUGGUUGGGGAUGAGCUCGCGGCCUAUCAGCUUGUUGGUGGGGUAAUGGCCUACCAAGGCGGCGACGGGUAGCCGGCCUGGGAGGGUGGACGGCGACAUUGGGACUGAGAUACGGGCCAGACGCCUACGGGAGGCAGCAGUGGGGAAGAUGGCACAAUGGGCGGAAGCCUGAGGCAGCGACGCCGCGUGGGGGAUGACGGCCUUCGGGUGGUAAACUCCUUUCGACCGCGAGGAAGCCACCUGGUUGGAAGGGUGGUGACGGUAGUGGUAGAAGAAGCACCGGCUAACUACGUG
rnacentral:rRNA from 1 species